CUUGUACUGCGGAGGACAUUAAAGAUUCGGGCCUCGGCCCACCUCAUCAGCUGUGCGCUUCGGCUGCACGCUGCAUGAACACCUCACACCUGUGCACAUCUUCGGUGGCGGCGCUCUGCGUCGCUUCCGCUCACAUUAAACCACUGUCAGUCCAGAAUGUACAAACCAUAAACAAAUACAACUUUCAACAACGGAUCUCUUGGCUCUCGCAUCGAUGAAGAACGCAGCGAAAUGCGAUAAGUAAUGUGAAUUGCAGAAUUCAGUGAAUCAUCGAAUCUUUGAACGCAUCUUGCGCUCCAUGGUAUUCCGUGGAGCAUGCCUGUUUGAGUGUCACGUCAACCCUCGCCCAUCCGAUGUUACAAUCGCCUGCGGUGGACUUGGACCGUGCCGUAGUCGGCUCGUCCUGAAAUGCAUUAGCUUGCGCUUUUAGAGUGCCUGGCACCGGUGUGAUAAUUAUCUGCGCCAUCGCCUAUAGCCUCUUCAGUUGUGCUGCUUACAAUCGUCCCGACGGACAACUUUUUAAAGCUUUGGCCUCAAAUCAGGUAGGACUACCCGCUGAACUUAAGCAUAUCAAAAACGCGGGAAGGAA
rnacentral:rRNA from 1 species